CGUGUAGGCGGUUGGUCAAGUCUGGUGUGAAAGCCCGGGGCUUAACCCCGGAAGUGCAUUGGAAACUAGCCAGCUAGAGCGCGAGAGAGGAGGGUGGAAUUCCUGGUGUAGCGGUGGAAUGCGUAGAUAUCAGGAGGAACACCGGCGGCGAAGGCGGCCCUCUGGCUCGUUGCUGACGCUGAAACGCGAAAGCGUGGGGAGCAAACAGGAUUAGAUACCCUGGUAGUCCACGCUGUAAACGAUGGGUACUAGGUGUUCGGGGUAUUGACCCCCCUGAGUGCCGACGCUAACGCAUUAAGUACCCCGCCUGGGGACUACGGCCGCAAGGUUAAA
rnacentral:rRNA from 1 species